GAUUUGAAAUGACAUCUCACACGAAUAAAUUGCUACUUAAGGUUACAGGACACCCUUUUUGGCGUUUUGCGGAAAAUCGCUACUGCGCGCUCAAUAUCAGUCCGAUUUUCAUCAAAUUUUCACCAAAUGUUCUCCAGUGCAUGCAAAAUGUGGUAAAGUUGUAAAAUUAACAAACAAUAAAAUAAUGUAAGAAUUAUUCAAGAAAAUCUUAAAUCGCGGUACCUUUACGCUUUUGAGUUGUGCUCCUGCUGGUUUUAAGUUAUAUUUAUGAAAAUAACAUUUUUACACAAUAAAAUAGUUGUUCUAAAAAAUUGUGUCCGGAAAUUUUUGUUUAUUUCGUCGUUCCGCUGAUAUGGCGAUUUCUUUGACGACUGCAAUAUAUAGAGUGAAUUCGAACACAAUUUUGAAACUGACGUAUUUAGCUAUGUCCUGUGAAAAUUUGAGAAAAAUUGGUUAAAACCCGCAGGAGCACAAUUCGUUUGAAAAUCAGUGAUUACCGUAAAAUUUUUCGGGAGAAAAUUGAAUUUGAAUAUUACAUUUUCAAUGUUU